AUUGAACGCUGGCGGCAGGCCUAACACAUGCAAGUCGAGCGGGGUUUUCGGACCUAGCGGCGGACGGGUGAGUAAUGCGUAGGAAGCUGCCCGAUAGAGGGGGAUACUAGUUGGAAACGACUGUUAAUACCGCAUAAUGUCUACGGACCAAAGUGUGGGACCUUCGGGCCACAUGCUAUCGGAUGCGCCUACGUGGGAUUAGCUAGUUGGUGAGGUAAUGGCUCACCAAGGCGACGAUCUCUAGCUGGUUUGAGAGGAUGAUCAGCCACACUGGAACUGAGACACGGUCCAGACUCCUACGGGAGGCAGCAGUGGGGAAUAUUGGACAAUGGGCGCAAGCCUGAUCCAGCCAUGCCGCGUGUGUGAAGAAGGCCUUCGGGUUGUAAAGCACUUUCAGCGAGGGGGAAGGGGUGUGUGUUAAUAGUACACACCUUUGACGUUACUCGCAGAAGAAGCACCGGCUAACUCUGUGCCAGCCGCCGCAGUAACAC
rnacentral:rRNA from 1 species